AACGAACGCUGGCGGCAUGCCUAACACAUGCAAGUCGAACGAGAUCUUCGGGUCUAGUGGCGCACGGGUGCGUAACGCGUGGGAAUCUGCCCUUUGGUUCGGUAUAACAGUUGGAAACGACUGCUAAUACCGGAUGAUGACGAAAGUCCAAAGAUUUAUCGCCAGGGGAUGAGCCUGCGUAGGGUUAGCUAGUUGGUGGGUUAAAGGCGCACUAAGGCGACGAUCCUUAGCUGGUCUGGGAGGAUGAUCAGCCACACUGGGGCUGAGACACGGCCCAUACUCCUCCGCGAGGCAGAAGUGGGGAAUAUUGGAAAAUGGCCGAAAGCCUGUUCCAGCAAGGCCGCGUGAGUGAUGAAGGCCUUAGGGUUGUAAAGCGCUUUUACCCGGGAUGAUAAUGACAGUACCGGGAGAAUAAGCUCCGGCUAACUCCGUGCCAGCAGCCACCGUAA
rnacentral:rRNA from 1 species